GACGAACGCUGGCGGCGUGCUUAACACAUGCAAGUCGAACGAACAGGCCCUGCUUUUGUUGGUUGCUCGAGUGGCGAACGGGUGAGUAACACGUGAGUAACCUGCCCCUGACUUUGGGAUAACUUUAGGAAACUGGGGCUAAUACCGCAUAGGCGCACCUGCUGCCUGGUGGGGGUUGGAAAAUUUCGGCUGUUGGGGAUGGACUCGCGGCUUGUCAGUUUGUUGUUGGGGUGGUGGCUUCCCACGGCUUCGACGGGCAGGCGGCCCGGGAGGAUGGCCGGAACGGUCACAUUGGGGCUGAGGCACGGACCAGAACGGGACGGAGGGCUGGAGUAUAGUACAUAACACGAUGAGGCAUACUGUAGUGCAGCCGCGUGGGGGAUGACGGGAAUCGGGUUGGAAUGCGAUCUCCCCUGGGACGAGGAGUGAAUGACGGUAACGAACAAGGAAGCAACGGCUAACUACGUG
rnacentral:rRNA from 1 species